rnacentral:rRNA from 1 species
UACGAAGGGGGCUAGCGUUGCUCGGAAUCACUGGGCGUAAAGGGCGCGUAGGCGGAUCUUUAAGUCGGGGGUGAAAGCCCAGGGCUCAACCCUGGAAUUGCCUUCGAUACUGAGGAUCUCGAGACCGGAAGAGGUAAGUGGAACUGCGAGUGUAGAGGUGAAAUUCGUAGAUAUUCGCAAGAACACCAGUGGCGAAGGCGGCUUACUGGUCCGGUUCUGACGCUGAGGCGCGAAAGCCAGGGGAGCAAACGGG